rnacentral:rRNA from 1 species
UACAGAGGUCUCAAGCGUUGUUCGGAUUCAUUGGGCGUAAAGGGUGCGUAGGCGGCGCGGUAAGUCGGGUGUGAAAUCUCGGAGCUUAACUCCGAAACUGCAUUCGAUACUGCCGUGCUUUGAGGACUGGAGAGGAGACUGGAAUUUACGGUGUAGCGGUGAAAUGCGUAGAUAUCGUAAGGAAGACCAGUGGCGAAGGCGGGUCUCUGGACAGUUCCUGACGCUGAGGCACGAAGGCCAGGGGGAGCAAAACGGGG